rnacentral:rRNA from 1 species
GAACAAGUACCGUGAGGGAAAGGUGAAAAGAACCCCGGGAGGGGAGUGAAAUAGAGAAUCUGAAACCAUAUGCUUACAAAAAGUUCGAGCCCGUUAAAGGGUGAGAGCGUGCCUUUUGCAGAAUGAGCCGGCGAGUUAUGGUAUUGUGCAAGGUUAAGUAGAAAAUACGGAGCCGAAGCGAAAGCGAGUCUUAAAAGGGCGAAAAAGUACAAUGCUGUAGACCCGAAACUGAGUGAUCUAGCCAUGAGCAGGUUGAAGUGUAGGUAACACUACAUGGAGGACCGAACCAGGGUACUAUGUAACGUGCUUGGAUGACUUGUGGUUAGCGGUGAAAUUCCAAUCGAACUCAGAGAUAGCUGGUUCUCCCCGAAAUAGGUUUAGGCCUAGCCUUGAAGAAUUUCCUCUGGAGGUAGAGCACUGAAUGUGGAAUGGCCGCGUCUAGCGGUACUGACUGCAAUCAACCUCCGAAUGCCAGAGUAGUUAGCUUCAGGAGUCAGUUUAUGGGUGAUAACGUCCAUAUGCGAGAGAAAAACAAUUCAGACCACCAGUUAAGGUCCCAAAAUAUAUGUUAAGUGGGAAAGGAUGUGGAGUUGCACGAACAGCUAGGAGGUUGGCUCAGAAGCAGCCAUCCUUUAAAGAGUGCGUAAUAGCUCACUAGUCGAGUGGCUCUGCGCCGAAAAUGUACCGGGGCUAAACAUAUUACCGAAACUGUGGAUUUAUGCGAUAGCAUAAGUGGUAGGGGAGCGUUCUAAGGGCGACGAAGAUAGAUCGAGAGGACUAUUGGAGCGCUUAGAAGUGAGAAUGCCGGUGUGAGUAACGUAAGGUAGGUGAGAAUCCUACCCACUGAUUGACCAAGGAUUCCAGGGUCAAGUUCGUCUACCCUGGGUAAGUCAGGACCUAAGGCGAGGCUGAGAAGCGUAGUCGAUGGACAACAGGUUUAUAUUCCUGUACUAUUUAUAGGACUGAAGGAGUGACAAAGGAAGCUAGUAAGAGCCAUUUAAUGGAUUAUGGUCUAAGCACAAAGACUGAUACAUAGGAAAAUCCGUGAUAUCGAACGGUUGAAGUGUGAUGGCGAAGCAGUCUACGGACAGCGAAGUCUUAUGAUGCUAAACUUUUUAAAAAAGCUUCUAAAGAAAUGCUAUAAAUACCUGUACUAAGAACCAACGCAGGUGGUCAAGGAGAGAAUCCUAAGGUGAGCGAGAGAACUAUGGUUAAGGAACUCGGCACAAUGAUCCCGUAACUUCGGAAUAAGGGAAGGUCUUGAAAAAGACCCGCAGUGAAUAGGCCCAAGCGACUGUUUACCAAAAACACAGGUUUCUGCAAAAGCGUAAGCUGAAGUAUAGGAGCUGACGCCUGCCCAGUGCUGGAAGGUUAAGAUGAUUUGUAAGAUGGACGAAAGUCGAUAACAUCGAAGCAAUGAAUUGAAGCCCCAGUGAACGGCGGCGAUAACUAUAAUCGUCCAAAGGUAGCGAAAUUCCUUGUCAGGUAAGUUCUGACCCGCACGAAAGGCGUAACGAUUUGGGCACUGUCUCAACCAUAGACUCGGUGAAAUCUUAAUACCUGUGAAAAUGCAGGUUAC